UUUGUUUUCAUCCUUAUUUGUGUUCGUUCAUUAAAUUAAAUUUAUUAUGAAAGAAUUUCUAUUUCUGGGUAUUUUUAUUCUAAAAAAUGCUCGCGAAGAUGUGCUUUAACUUAAGAAAAUUGCGAGCAGUGUUAAAUAUUUCAAUGCAAAUAAAAUGGCGACAGCGCUUUUGUUUUCACCGUCGUCAAGGGGCAUGUAACUCUAACUGACGCAAGUGCCCGGAUGUUGCGAUAAGGUCAAUAAAACGGGCUUAUAAUGGUAGCACAAAUAUGCAAACAAUGAAUACAUUGACACAAAAGGGCUGUUAUUGAGACUUCGCCCGGCCUGUACAACGACCACAACCAGGCUAUCUGGCCUGGCAUUGUUGUUUGCUGGCGUCGCUGAUAGCGAGUCAGUUGAAGCUCAGUAACCAGCUGAACGUUCCUUGGCGCAAUGUGUGCCUCGUCAGACAAUCGACGUAUGAGAAGAUACAUAGGAGGGGUAGCCCCCUCCCCCCCCCCGCUUACCCAUUGUGAUUUGAGACGUCUGUGCCAACCUAAAGUUAACCACUCUGUGCCGAAGUUGAGCAGGGCUUGCAGACAAACGUUAUUAUACUUAACUAAGACACUUUCUCACAAAUACUUUCAAUCUCACAAAUACUUUUAGUUAAAACUGUUAUGUACAUUUGAGUGAUAACUUGUAUAUUGUGUGUUUUAAACCUGAAUAAAAAUCAAUCAAUCAA